CCUACGGGGGGCAGCAGUGAGGAAUAUUGGUCAAUGGACGAGAGUCUGAACCAGCCAAGUAGCGUGAAGGAUGACUGCCCUAUGGGUUGUAAACUUCUUUUAUAUGGGAAUAAAAUGUUCCACGUGUGGGAUUUUGUAUGUACCAUAUGAAUAAGGAUCGGCUAACUCCGUGCCAGCAGCCGCGGUAAUACGGAGGAUCCGAGCGUUAUCCGGAUUUAUUGGGUUUAAAGGGAGCGUAGGUGGAUUGUUAAGUCAGUUGUGAAAGUUUGCGGCUCAACCGUAAAAUUGCAGUUGAAACUGGCAGUCUUGAGUACAGUAGAGGUGGGCGGAAUUCGUGGUGUAGCGGUGAAAUGCUCAGAUAUCACGAAGAACUCCGAUUGCGAAGGCAGUUCACUGGACUGCAACUGACACUGAGGCUCGAAAGUGUGGGUAUCAAACAGGAUUAGAUACCCUUGUAGUC
rnacentral:rRNA from 1 species